GCUGGAGGAGUUAAGUGCUUUCCCUUGGUGGUCUCCUGCACGGUCACACAGGUGCUCACCUUAGAGGGAAUUUAGGUUGUCAACUCAUCACAAUUGCCCUGGAGUCUACAGGAAUUAAAGACUAAUCUCUAACUAAAGAUUAUGUCAUGUGAUGAAACCUCCAGGAAUACGUCUAAUCAAAACUGGCAACCCUAGGCACUGCUGGGGAGGCUCCGAGUGGCUGUGAACAUCAUGCUGCUCACAUCCCAGACCAGAAGGAGGCACUGAAGCUUGAAAACAAAUAAAAACGCUUUAACUGUCCAAAAAAACAGCCCACGAAUGGCUUCAUUAACCAAGGAAGCAGAGGAUAACCCAGGUCUCCCAGGAUAACCAGAGCAAUGCCAACUCCAUUAAUGUCCACAGUGCUCCUGGGGGCAAACGUUCCUUUCUCCAUUAAGUUGCCAAGACAUACUCAUAACGUGGGGACCAGGCCACUGCCAGCACUUCUUGUCUGUGACCUAGAAAUAUGGUACCAUGAGAAAUUUCAGACUAAGAAGUACCCUGCAGAAUUUGAGAACAGGAUCCAGACUUCAAGUCACAAAGCUGUACUUGGGGGCUUUUGGUACCAACUGUAACAAGAAAAACAAAACAAUGUAAAAAAAACCAACUCUUAAC